rnacentral:rRNA from 1 species
UCAUUAUAUUAAUAGGUAGUACUCAAAACCAACAUAUAAUGGCGGUUUUUAUACUCUAGAGAAACUCGCUUUUUAAUCGAAAAUACACGUUAAUUUUCACUUAAUAUUUAAUAAAGCUUAUAUACCGCCGUUUGUAUAUAAUUAUAACAUCGAUAUUCUUAAAUUUUAAAAUUCAUAAUCAGGUCAAGGUGUAGCCUAUAAUUAAGAGAAAGUAAGUUACAUUAAAAAUAAUUUAAGAAUGUAAAAUCAAAAUUAAAUUGAAAGAGAAUUUAGAAGUACACUUAAAUCAAAAUUUUAACUUGAAUAUAUUUAUAAAAACGC